rnacentral:rRNA from 1 species
AACGAACGCUGGCGGCAUGCCUAACACAUGCAAGUCGAACGAGACCUUCGGGUCUAGUGGCGCACGGGUGCUUACCGCGUGGGAACCUGCCCUUAGGUUCGGAAUAACUCAGAGAAAUUUGAGCUAAUACCGCAUGAUGUCUUCCGACCAAGGAUCUAUCGCCUUUAGAUGGGCCCGCGUUGGAUUAGCGAGUUGGUGGGGUAAAGGCCUACCAAGGCGACGAUCCAUAGCUGGUCUGAGAGGAUGAUCAGCCACACUGGGACUGAGACACGGCCCAGACUCGGACGGGAGGCAGGAGUGGGGAAUAUUGGAGAAUGGGCGAAAGCCUGAUCCAGCAAUGCGGCGUGAGUGAUGAAGGCGUUAGGGUUGUAAAGCUCUUUUACCCGAGAUGAUAAUGACAGUAUCGGGAGAAGAAGCUCCGGCUAACUCCGUG